UACGGGGGGAGCAAGCGUUGUUCGGAUUUACUGGGCGUAAAGGGCGCGUAGGCGGCCACCGCAAGUCGGUUGUGAAAUCUCUGGGCUUAACCCAGAAAGGUCAACCGAUACUGCGGGGCUAGAGUGCAGAAGGGGCAACUGGAAUUCUCGGUGUAGCGGUGAAAUGCGUAGAGAUCGGGAGGAACACCAGAGGCGAAGGCGGCGACCUGGACAGAUACUGACACUCAACUACGAAAGCGUGGGGAGCAAACAGG
rnacentral:rRNA from 1 species